GCAAUAACCCACGCAUGGCCUGAGACAGGAAGCAUCAAUAUGCACACCUGGGCGUGUUAACACAUGCAGAACAGAGGACACACUUUAACUACAACUGGACAACAAGGUUGUUUGCUGUAGACGUUCAAUGUCAGGAUUUCCAGUUCAGUCAAUCUGAAUUGUAUUUAGGAAAGCUGGAAUGAGCAGCCACGUGAGGAAAAUGUCUUCCUGGAAGCAGAAUGAGCCUCCCGUUGGCUCUGGCACAAAGGAAAUGACAUUUGCUGGCAGCCUGGAGAAGAGGAGCAGUGACUUGACCACUGGUGCUGACCCACACAAUAGAGUGCGGUUUGUUUUUGUUUCAAAACACUCUGAGAAGGUGUAUAUCACCGAUGAUCAUCCACGGCCAAGGUUACAUUGAUUCAAGAAAUGGUUGUAAAAAGGCGGCUCUGAUGUAAAUGCAAA